rnacentral:lncRNA from 1 species
GAAAAUUCAAUUGUUGUUCUAGAAAAUCAACAAACCCUCUCGAGGAUAUAUACUUUUGGGUUGACGGAGGAGGUCCUCUAAAGAAUUCCAAAUCUACAGAAAUUGGGUAUCCAUUAUGAUUUUAUUGUGGUGGCCAGUAGGGAGAAAUUCUGUAUCAAUAAUCUUGCGUAUCACUUUUUCGACGUCUCUCAAAAAGUUGAUGUUAGACGGCAUAGAAUUUCAUCCCAAAGAUUAUCUCAAACUUCAUCCCGAUGAAUUGAAGAUUCUUGGUAAGUUGCCCAAACUGGAAGUGCUGAAAUUGAAACGUUGUGCCGUCAAUGAGCUAGAGUGGGAACUAGAAAUUGGUAAGGAGAAUUUCUCAAAUUGAAAUUUCUGCUGUUACACGAUGUUCAUCUGAAGCACUAGAGAGUUGAGAGCAUCCACUUCCCGAGUCUCGAGCGCCUGGUCAUUUCGAUUAGGGCUUACAGAGAACUGGAUGAGAUCCCUAAUGGUUUUGGGGAAAUUUCAACUCUUCAAUCGAUCGAAUUGAUUCUAAGUCCGCUUGAUCGGGGCAUUUCAACCCUUGGUGAUUCAAUUGUAGAAUCAGCAAAGAAAAUAGAAGAGGAACAAUUUAGUUGGGAAAACAAUGCAUUCAAGUUAUAUAUUAAGAAUUAAUAAAUGUGCAAAGAUUCAGAGUUGUCCAUUCCAAUCUUUUACAGGUACCAUUUCCUUUGUGAACCUUUUCCAUUUUCACUUUUGGCUUUCUUGUGUUCAUUUACACUCUUACUUUAGUGCAG